rnacentral:rRNA from 1 species
GUCUUUUUGGUAUUUAAUAUAAAGUCUAACCUGCCCACUGAAAAUAUUUUAAAGGGCCGCAGUAUUUUGACUGUGCAAAGGUAGCAUAAUCAUUAGUCUUUUAAUUGAAGGCUGGUAUGAAUGGUUGGAUAAGAUACAAGCUGUGUCAUAAAAAUUAAUAAUUGAAUUUAACUUUUUAGUUAAAAGGCUAAAAUUAAGUUAAAAGACGAGAAGACCCUAUAGAGCUUUAUAUAACAAUUAUUUAAAUUAUUUAGAUUUUUAAAAUUUAAUUUUUAUGUUAUAUUUUGUUGGGGUGACAAUAAAAUUUAUAAAACUUUUAUUUUUAAUUUACAUUAAUUUAUGGUUAAAUGAUCCAGUUUUAUUGAUUAUAAAUUUAAGUUACCUUAGGGAUAACAGCGUAAUUUUUUUUGAGAGUUCUUAUCGACAAAAAAGAUUGCGACCUCGAUGUUGGAUUAAGAGUAAUUUUGGGUGUAGAAGUUCAAAGUUUAAGUCUGUUCGACUUUUAAAUUCUUACAU